rnacentral:rRNA from 1 species
UACGAAGGGGGCUAGCGUUGCUCGGAAUGACUGGGCGUAAAGGGUGCGUAGGUGGGUUGGUAAGUCAGUGGUGAAAUCUCCAGGCUUAACUUGGAAACUGCCAUUGAUACUAUCAAUCUUGAAUACCGUGGAGGUCAGCGGAAUAUGUCAUGUAGCGGUGAAAUGCUUAGAUAUGACAUAGAACACCAAUUGCGAAGGCAGCUGGCUACACGAAUAUUGACACUGAUGCACGAAAGCGUGGGGAUCAAACAGG